UACGUAGGGGGCGAGCGUUACCCGGAUUUACUGGGCGUAAAGGGGGCGUAGGCGGCCGUGUAAGUCCGGUGUGAAAUGCCACGGCUCAACCGUGGAACUGCGCUGGAAACUACACGGCUUGAGGACGGUAGAGGGAGACGGAACUGCUGGUGUAGGGGUGAAAUCCGUAGAUAUCAGCAGGAACGCCGGUGGGGAAGCCGGUCUCCUGGGCCGUUCCUGACGCUGAGGCCCGAAAGCUAGGGGAGCAAACAGG
rnacentral:rRNA from 1 species